rnacentral:rRNA from 1 species
AUGACAGGUUCGCAUCUCAUCCACACACCCCGAACAGCCCGUCGAUGGCGCUCUAGGCUCGCCCGCCGCCACCCUGUCGCUCCCCUGCCCUGUCGCCGGCCGCCUCACUCCCCCGCCCCGUCGCCGCCCCCCCGCCCCGUCGCCGGCCCUCCCCCGCCACCCUGUCGCCGGCCCCGUCGCUCCCCCGCCCAUUCGCUGGGGCUCAACCUGUGCGUCUACGUGCCGCGGACGCUGGACGACCUGGACGCCGGCCCGCCCUCCACGGGCUCCUCCACCGCCGCGCUCGUCUCGCCGGCGGCCUCCUCCUCCUCCUCCUACGCCACCAGCGCCAACACCACCCCCACCGCCGACCCCGGCAGCGCCAGGGUCCCCGGUGCGCUCAUGCCCACCACCCCGACGCCCACCUCCGCCGGCCUUCGCCUCUCCAAGUCCGGCAGCAAGUCCUUCAAGUGGGGUGCUGAACACAGGAGGAGGCUGGUCCUCCCUGACUGCACCAGCUCUGCCCCAUCUCCUUCCUGUGAGGAGAAAAGGCUGAUGCUAGUAGCUACUCUUUUCCCUUGCUCUGAUCUUCAUCUCUACCAUGCCGCAAGUAUAGCUUGCUCUGCUUUCCCUCUGUUUGUUGGAUUCCAUCUGCUGGUGUGGCUCCAGCGUUGCUCCGGUGAGUCAGAUGCCCUCUCUUCCCUUGCCACAUCCCUCCUUCCUUAUCUUCUUUACCACGUCCCCUCUAACUCUCUGAUCCGUCGUCGCUCGAGCACCAGGAUGCCAUGGACAGGAUGGCCACUUCCUCCCCUGCCCGGACGCCAUGGAGUGGCUAGAUCUGGCCAUGGACGACGAUGCCCAGUGACAAGGGACGGCCUGGCCUGCCACCCUGAAGCCAUAUCAAGGCGGAUGAACAAGGAGGAGACCACCGUCGGAGGGGAGCUAGGAGGGGUCUGA